rnacentral:rRNA from 1 species
UACGGGGGGAGCGAGCGUUGUUCGGAAUCACUGGGCGUAAAGGGCGUGUAGGCGGCUGGAUAAGUCAGAGGUGAAAUCCCAGGGCUUAACCUUGGAAUUGCCUUUGAUACUGUCCGGCUAGAGGGCGGAAGAGGAUAGUGGAAUUCCUGGUGUAGCGGUGAAAUGCGUAGAUAUCAGGAAGAACACCGGUGGCGAAGGCGGCUAUCUGGUCCGCUACUGACGCUGAGGCGCGAAAGCCAGGGGAGCAAACGGG